rnacentral:lncRNA from 1 species
CUCUCAUGAACAAACAGAAAACAACACAUAAAUUGAAUCAAUUAACAUCAUUUUAACAUUAAUACAGAAUCACCUUCAUUCCAAUAAUUAAAACAUACGUAAUAUAGGACCAUCAUCCAGCAAAUUAAUUCAAUAAUAGUGGUCAUCACUUUAACUUAAAAAAACUAAAACCCCCAGUCUAUUAUCCAUCGCGUUCUAUUUCGGUAAAUUGUGAACCAAAAGAAAAGAAGAAGGCAUCAACCUGCUCCGGCAUUUUUUGACCGCCACGAGGUCGUCAUUUGGGUCCUGAAAUUACGUCGAUAGAACAACCAAAAAAGAAGAAAAAGAGGAGGUGGCGGUUCAAGGUUUCAUCCUCCUCGCCUUACCGCCAGAACCACGAAUGGCACCUCUGCUAUCGCCAAAUCGUGUCCAGGAGCGGGUCACCUUCUUAUAACCGCUGGACGGUGCUCCGGCACCCACCGCUACCUCUGGAUGGCCACCGUAGAAGGAGGAAGAGAGUCCAAUAGCUCUAUUGCUUCGAUCCGUCACUGGCGUCACCACUACAAGCAUUCUUAGCCGCAACUGAGAGUGGAACUUCUUUAGGGAUUUCAUUUUUUUUCCAUUUCUUUGUCUCUGUUAAAAGAUGGAAGUGUUUCUUAUUUUUUAUUUUUGACUUACU